rnacentral:Y_RNA from 1 species
GGCCGGUCCAAUGGUAGGAGGUUGUCAGAACUUACUAACAUUAGUGUCACUAAAGUUGGUAUAUCACCCUCCAUUGCUAGAUUUGACUGGCAAAA